rnacentral:lncRNA from 1 species
AGACAUAUGGAGCAUCAUACUUACGACUGUGAACCGUUACCAACCAUCAAUAUUCACUUUUACAAUCAUUUGCUCGGUUCAGAACUAUUAUACCAACCAUCAAUACUCUAUUUUACAACUUGCUUUUGAGAGGCAACCCAACAUUUCACAUUCGAGGCAUUUAGUUCGCCGCAUAUUGACUUUAAUCCUCAACGUCGACUGCAGAGUUAUAUUGACUUUAAUUCGCCGCAUAUUAUUCGAUAUAUCUUGAACCCUUCACGGAUGGAUUUGUCGCAAUAAAAAGCUCUCCGUCACCUGGUUAAUUUGUUAAACUAAACUUUGAUGGUCUGAUGCUGCGAUCAGAUUAUGUAGCUGAGUGUCUUAAUGCUUUUGGUUAAUCAUCUUAAUGCUUUUGGUGCCUCUCUGUGUUACUACAGAGUAUCAAAUUGGUUGUGUUGACAAGUUUUUUUUCUUUUGCCGUGGCAAAUAAGCUUUUGCUUCCUGUGAUGAGUUGUGAGUUUAAAGUUUUU